AGUGAACGCUGGCGGUAGGCCUAACACAUGCAAGUCGAACGGCAGCACAGUAAGAGCUUGCUCUUACGGGUGGCGAGUGGCGGACGGGUGAGGAAUACAUCGGAAUCUACUUUUUCGUGGGGGAUAACGUAGGGAAACUUCCGCUAAUACCGCAUACGACCUACGGGUGAAAGCAGGGGAUCUUCGGACCUUGCGCGAUUGAAUGAGCCGAUGUCGGAUGAGCUAGUUGGCGGGGUAAAGGCCCACCAAGGCGACGAUCCGUAGCUGGUAUGAGAGGAUGGGCACACACAUUGGAAGUGAGACACGGUACAGACUCCUACGGGAGGCAGCAGUGGGGAAUAUUGGACAAGGGGCGCAAGCCUGAUCCAGCCAUACCGCGUGGGUGAAGAAGGCCUUCGGGUUGUAAAGCCCUUUUGUUGGGAAAGAAAAGCAGCAGGUUAAUACCCCGCUGUUCUGACGGUACCCAAAGAAUAAGCACCGGCUAACUUCGUG
rnacentral:rRNA from 1 species